UCUUCUCGCGCCUAACGUUUCGUAUGGUUUUGUUCUCUGCAAUCCGCGCACACAGCUCAUCGGUGGCUGCACGUCUGCUCGGCGUCGCAAUGCGGCCUGCGUCAUUUUCUGGUGCUCGCGCAAUCGGUGUGAAACAUGUCGCAUGUGAAAUGUUUGAUAGAAGUGCCUCACGUCCAAGUCAAGCCGCCGUACGGGUGCAUGGCUGUGCGCCCCGUUCUCGGAAGCGUCGACGGGUUUCCGGCAUGCGGAUUUCAGCGUUUGGACUCGACUUUUGGUGAGGAUGUCGAUCGACCUUGGGCCUGGUGACAGCACACCCGACAUCGCCAAAGUUCAGCCUAUCAGUUGAGUGCCCCCGAAUGGACCAUCAACAUCGGAAAAUGAAGCAGAGCCAGGGGGAAAAGGUUCCGGUAACACUGCAUUCAGUAUGGUGGCCCAGACGUGUAUGCAAGCAACCUCCUUCAUGUGGACCAAGAACUACUCUGCAGUGUCUCACAGACUUCCAUGCGAAGCCCUCAACAUUCUCGUCUCAGUGGAAUGGCUGCUCAUCUAUCUGUGUGUCCAUCACCAAGAUGGCCAGUUGUAAAGCUCCUGUACCCGUUUAAGACAGCUUAAUGAUUUUUUUUUAUUUAGUUUUCAUGGUUGGCCGUAGAAUCUUAACAUCUUUGAUGUUUCUAACGUUUUUACCUGGCCCAAAGUGGUGCAAUAACUUUAAACCAGUGUAAUGUAUUUAAGUGAUGCUCACUCUAAUGCCUAUCUGGUUUUGUUUGUGUUUAAGAAAUUUGAAUGUCUGAUGAGGUAACAGCAUUUAAACUUGUCAUCGUGGCUCUUUUCAGUGAGCUGCUAGGAAAUAAGAUGCAAAACUUAUCACACGCCAGUUGUAGCAUUUUUGUUGUCAAGACUAAAGUAUACAUGUUUCAAAAGAUGGAAAGUGGGGAAAAAAGCCUCAAGACCAUAAUCAUCCUAGGAUUGUCAUGUCCUUACAACUCUGCAAUGACUAAUGCCUCAUACAUCUUGGGAGCACAUUGGUCGCAAUGCCUACAGGUAUACUUGAUAAGAGAAUAGCUCGCACUCAGAUUUGCCACGCAGCUGAUGGCUGAUAGCUUUUGUUUGUCGUCUUCAUGUUACUACAAUGUGUUCAAUAUUCAUUUACAUGUGCUGCGGUUUUUUG